rnacentral:rRNA from 1 species
AGCGAACGCUGGCGGCAGGCCUAACACAUGCAAGUCGAACGGAUCCUUCGGGAUUAGUGGCGGACGGGUGAGUAACACGUGGGAACGUGCCCUUUGGUUCGGAACAACUCAGGGAAACUUGAGCUAAUACCGGAUGUGCCCUUCGGGGGAAAGAUUUAUCGCCAUUGGAGCGGCCCGCGUAGGAUUAGCUAGUUGGUGGGGUAAAGGCCCCACCAAGGCUACGAUCCUUAGCUGGUCUGAGAGGAUGAUCAGCCACAUUGGGACUGAGACACGGCCCAAACUCCUACGGGAGGCAGCAGUGGGGAAUCUUGCGCAAUGGGCGAAAGCCUGACGCAGCCAUGCCGCGUGAAUGAUGAAGGUCUUAGGAUUGUAAAAUUCUUUCACCGGGGACGAUAAUGACGGUACCCGGAGAAGAAGCCCCGGCUAACUUCGUGCCAGCAGCCGCG